AGCACACGCCCUUAAUGCUAUCACUUAUCAGGCAGGGUCUCUGUGUGUUCAAGGCCAUACUAGGGAACACAGUCAAGUGUGGUGACACACACCUUUAAUCCCAGUACUAACCAUAGAAACCUGGAGGUCUGUACAGACAGACAGUGAUAAGGAAGUGAGGCAGCUGGGCUAACAUAGCCAAUGAGAGAGUAAAACAACAAGGUAAUAAAGGUGUGGGUAGACAGGAAGUAGCUUGUAUUUGGAAGCUGCAGAGUUGGUGAGGUAAAGUUGGCUGAUGGUUUUCCCUAUUUCCCUUACUACCACCACACUAGGUAGCUGCUUUGAAAUUCCCUCAGACUUCUACUGUUCUGUACAGCUGACAGAUUUGGUAAGUCAAUUAAGAUAUCUUAAAGGAUGAAAUUAGUUAAGAGAUUUUUUUUCCCCACAUUAAAAAAUGGGAAACAUUUUUACAAGGGAAUGAAUUUGGUCUCUGUUUGAUAACACAUUAGGCAGUCUGACAAGGGAACAAUUAAAUGAGAGAAUAAUUAAUGUUGAUGGGAUGUAUGUAACAUCAAUUAUCAAUAUUAUUUGUUUAAUCACUUUUAAUUUAUAUUAAAAAGGUCAGUCAAUUUCAGAGCCAAGAUAAAAGCUUUAGAAAAACCUGUUAAAAUGAAUUAUAGAGAAAUUCAGAUCUAGACAGGAGAAUUUAAAGGUGAAAUUAUUUCAGGAUUGAAUUAUAUGGUUACAGAAAGACAGUCUGUUUUCAAACAACCAAACUUAAUCUAUCCAGUAACUUUACAGGAACUACCUGCUCAAGGGCAUGUAUAAGCUAAUUGGACUCCAGUGGAAAUGUUAGAUUUAAGGGGAUUUAAAGAAGCUAUACUCACAUAUGGUAUGCUGCUAUGGGAUAAUGCUUUGUACACUGGUUUAAUAAAACACUGAUUCUCCAUUUGUAAAGUAGAUGUUAAACUCAUGGUCAACUUUUAAUAGAAUUGUCCCUCAGGACUGGAAAGAAUUAGUUACAGCAGUCCUAGAGGCAAGGGUACAAUUACAAUGGAGAACAUGUUUCAAAGAGGAGACUAAAACAAUAGAGCAACAAUGUGAGACUAGAGGUGUGGAAAUUUCCCAGGAUCAGCUUCUUGGUGAAGACAAAUACACUGAUAUAUAAAGACAAUGUUUAUAUGGUAACCAAAUCUUAAUUCUAUGCCACAUGGCAGUCAUGAAAGCAUGGGAUAGAAUUGAGGAAGCAGAAAAGAAAAUUGAAUCAUUUACAAAAGUUAUACAGGGCCCCAGAGCAUCCUUCACAGAUUUCUUACAAAGGCUGUCUUCAGCAGUAAAUAGAAUGAUACCAAAUUCAGAAGCUAGACAGAUAAUAAUUGAAUCUUUUGCUUUUGAGAAUGCGAAUGCAGGAUUCAAAAGAAUAAUCAGGCUGUUAGAAGCAAGAUCAUCACCCUUGGAGGAUUGGAUUAGGGACACAAUUAAUAUUGAGUUUCAUGACCAUGGUGAGAUGUGGAUAGGAGAGGUGAUUUCAAAAGUUUUGAGGAAAAAUAAUAUCAGAUGUUUUGGAUAUGGUAAACAAAGUCAUUUGAAAAGGGAGUAUAAAUAGGGUGUUCCUAGAAAGAAUGAUUAUUCAAGGAAAAAGAGCAACAGAAUGCCCCUCCCUUCUGGAGUAUGCAGAAGGUGUGGUAAGGGUAAACAUUGGACCAACCAAUGGAGAUCAACAAGGGACAGACAAUGUAAUCCUUUGCCUGUGCCCUCAGGAAACUCCCAGAGGGGCCUCAUUCAGGCCCCCAUAGCAAAUUUAGUUCAGACCUUUCCUGCCAUCAUAGAAUAAACCCCUUCUCAGAGCAAUUAAAUAACCAAAUGCCUAUUGAAAUAAACCUGGCUGCUUGGGGUGGUAGACUAGCUGUAGCAGAGAGAAUAGGAAAUUCAGGAGAAACCAUAAAGUGAAUUUUUUGGCAAACUUCUAUAAAUGAGCAAAGAUCAAAAUUAAAAAUACGAAUAAAUGACGUUUUCUUGGGUGGUUUAGUAGACACAGGUGCAGAUGUUACAAUAAUUGCACCAGAAUUUUGGCAUCCAAACUGGCCUCUUCAGAAGGUAAAUGUUCAGCUAGUAUGGAUUGAAACAUUAUCUCAAGUGAAACAGAGCACAAUAUGGCUUGAAUGUAUAGUACCAGAAAGACAGAGAGGAAAAUUAAAGCAAUAUGUAGCUAAUAUAACCAUGAAUUUAUGGGGCCACAAUCUAUUACAACAAUAGAAUACUCAUAUUAACAUUCCUCCAACCUCAGAAACAAAUCAUAAACUAACGCAUGUUUCUGAGAGAAAUAUUAGGAGGUAUUAUUAUUAUAAAGAGCAGUAACCAAACAUCCAGAUUGUACAAGAACAAGGUACAACAACUGCUGAUCUUUCAAAAACACCAGCAGCUCUACCUUUAAAAUGGUUAACAGACAAGCCUAUGUGGGUUCAGCAAUGGCCUUUAACAACAGAGAAACUGCAGGUUUUCACCAGCCCUUGGAAUUCUCCUGUAUUUGUUAUUAAAAAGAAAUCUUGUAAAUGGAGAAUGGUAACAGACCUAAGAACAAUUAACAAAGUAAUUCAGCCUAUGGGCUCUCUACAAUCUGGAAUUACUUUGUCUACUCUGUUACCUAAAGGGCAGUCUCUUAUAGUUAUUGAUUUAAAAUACUGUUUCUUUUCAAUACCCUUACAAGAAAAGGACAGAGAAAGAUUUGCCUUCACAGUGUCUACUUAUAGUAAUUCUCAGCUGGUUAAGAGAUAUCAAUGGAGGAUUCUCCCACAGGAAAUGUUAUAUAGCCCAACCCUGUGCCAAUAUUUUGUACAACAGCCAUUGGAAGUAAUACAUAAACAAUUUCCUAAAUCUAUAAUUUAUCAUUACAUGAACAAUAUUUUACUAGCUGAUUCAAGUCCAGAUACUUUACAAAGAAUGUUUAAAGAAGUAAAGAAAAUUUUGCCCUGUUGAGGAUUACAAAUUACUCCUGAAAUGAUAAAGAGGAGAUUCUAUUAAUUAUUUAGGAUGUAAAAUAGGUCUACAGAAACUUAGACCCCAAAAGGGGCAAAUUAGGAGAAAUUGAUUACAGACUCUUAAUGACUUUCAGAGAUUAUUCGGAGACAUUUCCCAUCUACAAAGUAUUGCUGGGGUAAAAAAUGAUAAACUGAGUAAUUUGUUCAAAACCUUAGAAGGUAACAAGGACUUAAAUAGUCCAAGAGAAUUAUCAGCUGAAGCUGAGAGAUGAUUGGCCUUGAUGGAAAAGAAAGUACAGGAAGGACAUGUGGAUUGCGUAGAUCCAAAGCUUGACCGCAUUUUGGUUAUUUUACCCUCUAAGCAUUCUCCUACAGUAAUUUUAAUGCAGAAGGAAGAUAUUACAUUGGAAUGUAUUUUUCUACCAAAUAAACAGAGUAAAAAAUUAAAAAUUUAUGUGGAAAAGAUCUCUGACUUGAUUUUAAAAGGAAAAUUGUGACUUUGUCAAUUAGCAGGAAUAGACCCAGCAGAAAUCGUCAUACUUUUAACUAAGGAUGAAAUUGAAAAAUAAUGGGAAGAAACUGAACCUUGGCAAAGAGCUUGCAGUAAUUUUUUGAGAGAGAUUAACAGCAAACAUCUCAAAAGUGAUAGAAUUCAACUUAUAAAGAGAUCUGAUUGGAUUCUGCCUCAAAUUGUUCAGGAAACACCUAUAUCUGAAGCCCAUACAUUUUAUAGAGAUGCAAACAAACAAGGAAAGGCAGGUUACAAAUCAGAAAAUUUAAGUAAAAUGGCUCAAAGUCCUUAUAAUUUGGUUCAAAAAUCAGAAUUGUAUGGUAUUCUAUUGGUAUUAAUGGAUUUUUCUGAACCUCUCAACGUAGUUACUGACUAUGCUAAAAGAGUGGUAUUACAUAUUGAGACUGCAGAAUUUAUUCCUAAUGAGUUAGAAUCAACUUUAUUAUUUAUUCAGUUACAAGAUAUAAUAAGGAAUGGGCAGCAUCAUUUAUAUAUAACUCACAUCCAAUCCCAUAUGGGUCUGCCGGCCCUCUAGUACAAGGUAAUGAUGAGAUUGAUAAAUUAUUGAUAGGAAAUGUGCUGGAGGCCUCAGAAUUUCAUAAAAAAACAUCAUGCCAGUAGUAAAGGCUUAAAAAACGGUUUUUCCAUAACCUGGCAACAAGCCAAGGAAAUGUCCUACUUGUUCCUUUUACAAUCUGACAUCAUUACCAGCAGGAUGUAACCCAAAGGGUACUCAGAGGAAUGAAAUCUGGCAGAUGGAUGUGUUUCACUUUGCAGAAUAUGGGAAACUGAAAUAUAUACACCAUACCAUUGAUACUUAUUCAGGAUUUCAAUGGGCAACUGCUUUGGGUUCUGAAAAAGCUGAUUCUGUAAUCAUUCAUUUGCCAGAAGUUAUGGCCAUCAUGGGUAUACCUGCACAAAUUAAAACUGAAAAUGCUCCAUCAUAUGUCUCUGUUAAAAUGAAACAGUUUGCUUAUACAAUAUAAAGCAUAUUACAGGUAUACCACAUAUUCCUACAGGCCAAGCAGUCAUAGAAAAAUAAAAUCAAACUCUAAAGGACAUGCUAAAUAAACAGAAGGGGGUAACAAAACCCCCCAGAAAUAGAUUACAUAAUGCUCUAUUAACUUUGAAUUUCUCAGUGCUAAUGAGAAAGGAACAACAGCUGCAGAGAGACAUUGAAUAAUAGAAAAAACUACAGAAUUAAAUCAGCCUAUCUAUUUUAAAGAUGUGCUGACCUCAGAAUGGAAACCAGGAUAUGUGUUACGUUGGGGACAAGAUUUUGCUUUUGUUUCUACAGGAGAAGAUAAGCUGUGGAUACUAUCAAAAUUGAUAAAGGUCCAAUUUGAACAAGAGAGACUUCUUAAUUAGAAGUGGUGAUAGUUCAUCAACCAGCAUGACCAUCCAAUUUAAACUAGUUUAUACCUCUAACAAAUGCUUUUCAUUUAAUCAGAUAUAACUUACCAGAAGGGAACCUACCCAAAGUUAGGCUUGGGGAAGGGUUUUUGUUUUUGUCUUUCAGGAGAAUGAAGGCUAAGGAAUCUGAAGAACACUGGACAAAUGAGAUAUCUGAAUAAAAAAGGACAAAUCAUCCAGAAAAAAUAUGCCAAGAAAAAGAGUAAAUUGGCCUAUUGGUAUAUUACCUAUAAAAUUUCGAUCCCCUAAAGAUGCCUUCACCCACAGCAGGAAGUAAUUUUUUUUUUCCCCGGGGAAAGAUAACCUUUUAUUGGAUCCAGCAUGGAGAAGCGAGCUGCAAAAGAGAAAGGCCUUCAAAGCCACUCAGCCUAAUUUUAACAAUGCUGUGGAGAAACUGCAACUCUUCUAUUCUGACUCUCUCCCUGAGACAUUGAGAAGCAUGCCUUAGGUUUGCCAUCCAAGGUUCACAACCGAUGAAAUUUAGGUAAUGUCCUAAAUCUCAAUACAGGAGACAUUGCAGUUUCCUGUGCUGCACAGAUUAUACCUAUUAGUGAUUAGCUGGAGUUACAAAUAAUGCAUCGGUAUUGCAUUAAGAAAAGAACUAAAGCCCUUCCCCUUGAAGUCAUUUAACUAAGAGUGAGUCUAGAUUUGAGUUUUCUACUUCAUUUCCCUGGGUCUUCCUUCCUGUGUCUGUUGCAUGAGUCUAAAUCUCCACCUGCCUGAAGGUUGUCUUGUGAAUCUAUUUGUCCCUGAGUCUGUGUCUUCUGUCUGUAUGUGUCUGUCUGUUUCUGUCUGUGUGAUUGUAUGCAUCUCUAUGACUAUUUGUUGUGUCUGUGUGAGUCUGUCUGUGAGUGGUACGACUGUCAGUGUGUGUUGAUUGUAUGUGUCUGUGUGUAUAUGUAUGUGUCUCUGUGUGUUAAUGGUGUCUGUCCCUAACAAGAGGCUUUGCUCUGUCUUUAUUGAACAGCACAGAAUGCAUCACAUGGGGGAAGGAAUGCUAUACUUUACAAAAAUCUUUAACAGAAUUUUACAAGGGAUUAAGUCACUGGCUCCAACUGAUCCCAGCUGACCCAGAUAAUAAGCAUCAUCGUUUAUCAACCAAUAUCUGUACAUGAAUGCUCUCAACUAUCAUGGUAAAUUUUAGGAAGUUGCUUUCAACUUCUCUAUUUGCUGCUUUCAGCAAACGAUGCACAUGUAACUCUGAGUGAGGGGUAUGGAACGGUAUGGAACUUAAGAUUGCAGUUAUGCACUAACUUAGGUUGUAAAAGUUCAUCACAUGGGAAAUCCAAGGCAAAUAAGAUUGGUUGUUGCAUUCUUCUCUUAAAAGCAGAUUAAACAAAGAGUUGGAAUACCCAGUAUGAUAGCAGUCUUAAGUGACCUCAGGGUGUGUUACUAACUUUGGCUGUGAGGUCCCCAAUCUCUUAGAAUGUAAGAGAUGCUUACAGAAUAUUGCCCUUUCUGACACCAUCAUUAGCUUCCCUGCAUGUGGGCAUUACCAUUGGAAGAAUCUGAUUCAUACUUUCUUUUGAGUUGAUUCUUUUUAUCCCAUGAUGCCACAAAAGAAAAACAAAGAUCUACCAAACUCUUGAAUAUGCAACAUCUGAAUGUAUGUUUUCCUUUAAUAUCCACAUUGAGUGCUUAAGUGGGCUUCCCACCGUGCUUUGCUGAAAUUCUUCAUGUUAAUAUUACAAUACCAAAAGAUAAAUGUGGUUUUACAGAUGACACAGAUCUCAUACAUUUCCAGACGUCACCUGGCUCAUUUGCUGCACAGUAGAAGUACAAGGGUAAAGCUCUGCAUUCUAACUCCUGUCACUAAAUAGCUCGUCACUGCACUCAUUGCUCAAGGUGAUGCUGGAAACACUAGCUUUAGUGACAAGACCUGAGCACCUGCAGCCUUACCUUUUAAUCCAAUCCAGUCUUCCAUUUUGAUGAAUUCCCACUUCACUGAUCAACACCUGCAUUAUGCUGUGCUUGAAAAGGAAGCUGGUUUUCUUGGGAGCAGAUGAAACAGAGUUCAAGUAAGCCUUACCCCAUGAAAACUAUGGUUGUCUCAGUAACUCUGUGCAUUUGUAUGGUCAAUCAAUUUACAAUGCACCUCUAGAAAGUUCAAAGACUCAGUCAAGUACCCUAAUCUUGGAGUCCACAGUUCAUUAUUUAGUCAAGUAUUGGAUGAAUGGAUGGAUGGAUGGAUAUGAUAAAUGGAAUUGAAUGGCUAUAUUGAUAGGAUGAAAUGGAUGAGUGUGUGGGAUGGACAUAUAUAUUUAUAGAUGGAAUAGAUGAACAAAUUAACAGGGACAUCAUAAUGCAGAAACAAGAGUUCUUAGUAUAAGAUCCUUUUCUUCUGUGUCAUGCUUUAACCAACUAUAUUUCUGGCACUAGUCCAUUCCUGAUGCUGACUGCCACCUUAGUUACUAAACUCAUAAUAUAUCCAGCUCUAAAAGCUUGGGUUUAUCCCUGGUAAACAGCCUGGUCCAUCUGGAAGCUUGUCAUUAGUUUAAGAAAUGAACUUUACUUUCCUUGCAUGGUAUAUAUCUAUAUUCCUCUCUCUGUUGCUAGCCCAAAGAGCAUCAGAAAAUAGGGAACCAGCUUUUGUGCUUCAAAUAUAAGAUAAGCAUUCCGACUUCUUAACCACAGAAGAUGAUUAUGCUGCGCUAUUACUUCCAUUCACAUAGCCCCGACUGUUUGUCAGGGGACUAGAAUGGGCUCCUGAAACAGUUUACACUGCCAUCCUGAGAGACAACAGGAAGACACAACAAUGCUUGAACUUCAGCUGGGGAAGAAGGAUCAUAUUCCCUGGAGGGUUCAUCAAAAACACAGGUGUCUGGACUGAGGACCUCUUCUCUAGGCACUCCGACGUGAGACCAGAAAAAAAAUAACAAAAAACAAACCUCACGGAACCUUCUCAAGCACAAACAAUGCUUGCCUCCUGCUGGUUGUCAUAAAAGAUCUUGACUCAGAUCUUCUCUGUAUUCUGGCAGAUUAUUAUAUCACUUUAAAAAUCUGAAACACUUGCAUGAUAGUUUUCCAUUCCAGUGCCAUGAACUGUCUUGUAAGCAUUCUUUCCACUUGAAAUUUGCAGAUGUCACUUCCCCUCUACAUGACCCUGUUUCCCUGGCACCUACUCUCCCUGUCUACGUUGAUAAAUUCACCUUCACUGAGUUCCUUGGGCUUCACAUUCAGGAUCUCUCACAGCUUGCUGACGUUCACACUCCUCUAGAAAGGAUUUCCUUUCUAGUUUCAUAUAUAUUGUUUGAAUUUCACUUCCAGUGUUUUUCCUUUUCAUUUCCCUCCUUUACUGUUAGCUUUAUUGACUGAGUGGCUCCUCUGACUAUUACCUAGAAAAUGGAUAAUUUUAUCCAUUUCUAUAAAAUGUCACUCAGCUCUAUCAAUGAGAGACAAACGGCAACAGGUUACCUGCACCCCGUUGUCUGCACAUACUUUUAAUACCAAGCACACUGUGACCAAUCACCAAGAGGCUGUGAGAGAAGUGACGCGAUUGGUUAAUAUACAGUUUGCAGCUGUUGUUUAUGUCAUCACUAAUCAGGAAAAAGGAUUGGGCUAAAUGUGAUGACAGCAGCUUUUCUGUGGCUACUGGACUAUGGACCAUGCUGGUGGAGAUGUGAUGACAGCAGCUUUUCUGUGGCUACUGGACUAUGGACCAUGCUGGUGGAGAUGUGAUGACAGCAGCUUUUCUGUGGCUACUGGACUAUGGACCAUGCUGGUGAAGAUGUGAUGACAGCAGCUCUCCUGUAGCUACUAGACUAUGGACCAUGCUGGUGGAGAUGUGAUGACAGCAGCUUUUCUGUGGCUACUGGACUAAGGACCGUGCUGGUGGAGGGCUCCUGUUAUUAGCCAGCAUGUGAUCACUGAUAACUGGAAGUUGGUCACAUGCAAAGCAAAGACUACCUGCACUGUAAUGUUUUAAUCUGUAACAUCCAGAUAGUCUAAAAGAUGGCAUUUUCAACCAAGGGGCUGAGGCAGGAGAAAUCCAAUUUGAGGCCAUCCUGGACUAUAUAGGAGAAGGCUGUCUCAUAAAGAGAGAGAAAAAAAGGUGUGGUCCUUUGGAUGAGAAAUGUCCCACAUAGGUUUGUGUAUUUGAAUACUUGAUGCCAAGCUGCUGGUGCUGUUUGCCAAGGUUAUGGAAUCUUUAUGAGUUCUCUAAUGGAGCUCCAGAAUGAAAGAGGUAGUUGAACCUCCAUUACCAGCCUAUUCUAGUCAUUUCUCUGUCGCAUCAUAAGUAAUUGCUUAACUAACAUCUGUGUAAGAGAUUUUGGCCAAAACAAUGGAACAUUUCUUCAGCAAAGUCACUUCAUUUCCUGGAACAUUACAGAUUAUAAAGAGGAGAACAACUGUUGAAGUACACUUUUGGCAAGAAAGAGUAUCUGACACUAGAGGGAGGGACCAGAAAUGAUACAUCAUCCGAUGCAAGCAUUCAAAGGGCAUAUCUCCCUUGAUUGGUGCUCUCAGCUUUGAUUUCCUUCCUCUGGCAUGAGAGCUUUCCCUGUGCUGAUGUUUCCAUAAAUGCAGAAGACAGCAAGAUCUUCAACCUUCACCAUCAUUGGGUUUGAAUCAUUUCUGGAAGUUGGCAGGGGUCUCCAAUAUGGGGAACACUCUCUUUCUUUAUGACCUCCUGUAUCUCAAAGGACAGUCAGCACUUUCCCCUCAGGCAAGGAGUGCUUCUAUGUGUCUGUGACGUAUUGGAUCCUAAGACUCAGGGAUCAAUAAUAUCUCAAUUUGGGAUGUAUUUUUGCGAUGUGAAUGUCAUCCAUUUCCAGCUAAACUCACAGAUUCAUCUUAAUCUCACUAGAAGAGAGACAGCCAGGUAUAAUGCAUCUCCCAAGACAAGAGAGUUCUACCCUUCCAAAGGAAAGAGCCUUGCGUAUAUAGUUAAUACACAUGCAUGCACAUGCACACACAAGCAUACGCAUGCACACACACAUACAUGGACAGAAUUAGACUAAGCCUUUACAGUUAACCACUACAUUAUAAGAAAAAAGGUCACUCACACACAUACACAUAUAUAUACAUACACACAUAUAUAUACAUAUAUAUACAUACAUAUAUAUAUCAGCAUGAAAGUGCCAUUUCAGACUUGAAAACUUUCAGUGAAUUGGUCUCCAUGACAAAUAAACUACAAAGAAAUAAAAUUGUCAGGGAAGAAAUGAGGAACCUCCAGAAUAAAGGAGGCUUAAGGACAACAUCAAGUUGACCGAGGAUAUAAUGCGAUUGAUAGAACACUCUCCUGGAACAGUGAGGCUUUGUAUUUAAUUCCUAGUCAUCAUUAAGUAAUUGCAUUGUGUAAACCCUUUUGAGAUCUUGAUUUCAAUGAACUAACUAUACUCUUUUAAGGAGAAAAAUAAAACACACACACACAUACAGUUGAAAAUUUUUGAAUGCUGACUAGACACAUUAAUAGUUUUAAGGAAUUCCAAUGUUUUAUAUAAUUAUUUUUAAACAAUUCUUAUAUUUUAGAAAUAAUGAAAUACAGACAUCAAAA